rnacentral:rRNA from 1 species
UACAGAGGUCCCGAGCGUUGUUCGGAUUCAUUGGGCGUAAAGGGUGCGUAGGCGGCUUUCUAAGUCUGGUGUGAAAUCCUGGGGCUCAACCCUGGAACUGCACUGGAUACUGGGAGGCUAGAGUACUGGAGAGGAAACUGGAAUUUACGGUGUAGCAGUGAAAUGCGUAGAGAUCGUAAGGAAGACCAGUGGCGAAGGCGAGUUUCUGGACAGUUACUGACGCUGAGGCACGAAGGCCAGGGGAGCAAACGGG